rnacentral:tRNA from 1 species
GAGGGUAUAGCUUAAGUGGUAGAGUGCAUGCUUAUCAUGUAAGAUGAUCCUGGGUUCAAUCCCCAGUACCUCCC